GUAGUUAGCCGUGGCUUGUUUUCAGGGUACCGUCUUCUACUCUUCCCCUGUCAAAGAAGUUUACGACCCGAAGGCCUUCUUCCCUCACGCGGCGUUGCUGGGUCAGGCUUGCGCCCAUUGCCCAAUAUUCCCCACUGCUGCCUCCCGUAGGAGUCUGGACCGUGUCUCAGUUCCAGUGUGGCCGAUCAGCCUCUCAGCUCGGCUACCCAUCGCAGGCUUGGUGGGCUGUUAUCUCACCAACUACCUAAUGGGACGCGAACCCCUCCCUCAGCGGAUUGCUCCUUUGACCUCAUCCCGAUGCCGGGUCGUGGUCUUAUGCGGUAUUAGCACUUGUUUCCAGGUGUUAUCCCCCUCUGAAGGUCAGGUUGUUCACGCGUUACUCACCCGUUCGCCACUAAAAUUUAUCUUCCAUCCGAAAACUUCUGAUAAAUCUCCGUUCGACUUGCAUGUGUUAGGCACGCCGCCAGCGUUCGUCCUGAGCCAGAAUCAAACUACUGA
rnacentral:rRNA from 1 species